AACAUGAAUGAAUAUAAAUAAUACUUUGCUUAAAGAGAAAAGCGACGGGGAAUGAAUAGAGAAGCGGGUUGAAUUAUCGCUGUAAAUUAAGUACAUUUGUCUUUGUCAAUAAACGAUCGCUUCCACAAAGAUUUGCUGAUAGAUUCUCUUGGAAAACAAACAGUCUCAACGAGAUCUUAAAAACACUACUCGAAAAAUCACGUGUUGGUGAAAAUUAGUUGCAAAUCUGAUGGGAGAGUCCAGUCGGAACAUAAACAAUAAACAGAGAAGAAUGUACAAUGCACUAUUCAAAUUUACACAGGAAUUUUCAUGAUUCUGUGCGGCAAACAAUGGAAUUGUAAACAUAGCCCUCACCACUCUAGCGCAACAAAAUUCCUGGACUUGUCAUUACGGAAAUUACCAGCCGAAAUUCAAGUUAUCAUUCAAAUCUGACAAAUCCUGAAACGGAUUUUGCUUGGUGUACAAGAUUGCAUGAUUUUCAAUCGACAUUAUCAAAUAAUCGUUUUCGAUUAGCAUAAACGAGCUUUCUUUUCAGCACUACUCACAUAUGAGAACAGAUUGCAAAAAUAACACCACACCACUACGUACAAGAAACGAAAUCACAAAAUAAACCGAAAGUGAUACUGUUAUUAAUGAUCAAGUCUUCGAAUUGACGUUUUCAUCAAAACUUCGAAUCGUAAUCUGCGACAUAUGAAAGUGGCAGGAAAUCAAUAUUUAUCUGGGCUUGGGUCUGUGUUGAUGGUUCGUUGAUAGCAAAAUGAAUUAUCGAUGGGAGAAAUUCACUAAUCCGCGUGUCGCGUCUAACGAGAACAAAAAGAACAGAGACGGGUCAUCGUUGAUUGACCUCAAAGAGACAAACAGGAAGAAGACUGCUAGCAGGGUACGUCUCUUGCAGAGUACUUAUUGUCCUGCCCACAAUGCAUGGAAUUUAUCUAAUUAUUACUCUUUUCGCCAUUUAUUGAUUAAAAUAGUGUAUUAAAAUAGUGUAUCAAUAGGUUCACUUAGCAGGUUCUUGAUUACGCCUACUCAAUCCAAUGUUUUGAUCUCAGAAAGGUUGAUAGCAGUUGCGCGAGCGAAGGGGCGGACAGAGAGGUGCACUAAAAGGGAUGCAAA